rnacentral:misc_RNA from 1 species
AACGCACAUUGCGCCCAUUGGUAUUCCUUUGGGCAUGUCUGUUUGAGCGUCAUUACAACUCUUCAACAUUUAAGUUGGUUAUGGGUUCUAUUGCAAUUUUUUUUUUGUAAUAGGCUUUAAAGUUGUAUGCUCUGCAGGCUGCUUUGCCAAAUCAAAACAUAGUAAUUUUACUCUUUGUUUUUUAGUGAGGCUUUGCAUGCUCUGCCUGAAUAAAAAAUCUUUAAUUUCUAAGGUUUGACCUCAGAUCAGACAAGGAUACCCGCUGAACUUAA